AGAGUUGUAGUCCUGGCUCGGAUGACGCUGCGGCGUGCUUACACAUGCAAGUCGACGGACCAUAUUGAACUAGUGAUAUAUGGGUUAGUGGCGGACGGGUGAGUAACGACGUGGGUAACCUGCCUUACACAGGGGGAUAACACUUAGAAAUAGGUGCUAAAACCGCAUAAGCGCACAGCUUCGCAUGAAGCGGUGUGAAAAACUCCGGUGGUGUAAGAUGGACCCGCGUCUGAUUAGCUUGUUGGCGGGGUAACGGCCCACCAAGGCGACGAUCAGUAGCCGGCCUGAGAGGGCGGACGGCCACAUUGGGACUGAGACACGGCCCAGACUCCUACGGGAGGCAGCAGUGGGGAAUAUUGCACAAUGGGGGAAACCCUGAUGCAGCGACGCCGCGUGAGUGAAGAAGUAAUUCGUUACGUAAAGCUCUAUCAGCAGGGAAGAAAUACUGACCUUACGGUCAGCAGACGGUACCUGAGUAAGAAGCCCCCGGCUAACUACGUG
rnacentral:rRNA from 1 species